UACGGGGGGGGCAAGCGUUGUUCGGAAUUACUGGGCGUAAAGGGCUCGUAGGCGGCCAACUAAGUCGGAUGUGAAAUCCCUCAGCUUAACUGGGGAACUGCGUCUGAUACUGGAUGGCUUGGAUUUGGGAGAGGGAUGCGGAAUUCCUGGUGUAGCGGUGAAAUGCGCAGAUAUCAGGAAGAACACCCGUGGCGAAAGCGGCUCUCUGGAACGGUACUGACGCUGAGACGCGAAAGCGUGGGUAGCAAACAGG
rnacentral:rRNA from 1 species